GAUGAACGCUGGCGGCGUGCCUAAUACAUGCAAGUCGAGCGAAGCGGGGACGGGUGAGUAACACGUGGAUAACCUCCUAUACGACCGGGAUAACUUGGGGUAACACGAGCUAAACCGGCUACUUAUAGAUGGAUCCGCGCUGCAUUAGCUAGUUGUUAAGUUAACGGCUGACCAAGGCAACGUUGCAUAGCCGACCUGAGAGGGUGAUCGGCCACACUGGAACUGAGACACGGUCCAGACUCCUACGGGAGGCAGCAGUAGGGAAUCUUCGGCAAUGGGCGAAAGCCUGACGGAGCAACGCCGCGUGAGUGAUGAAGGUCUUCGGAUCGUAAAACUCUGUUAUUAGGGAAGCGGUACCUAAUCAGAAAGCCACGGCUAACUACGUGCCAGCAGCCGCGGUAAUAC
rnacentral:rRNA from 1 species